GAUGAACGCUAGCGAUAGGCUUAACACAUGCAAGUCGAGGGGCAUCGAGGGUAGCAAUACCUGUCGGCGACCGGCGCACGGGUGAGUAACGCGUAUGUAACCUGCCCGCAACAGAGGGAUAACCCGGCGAAAGUCGGACUAAUACCUCAUAAAACAGGGGUUCCGCAUGGGGCUAUUUGUUAAAGAUUUAUUGGUUGCGGAUGGGCAUGCGUACCAUUAGGUAGUUGGUGAGGUAACGGCUCACCAACCAUCGAUGGUUAGGGGUUUGAGAGGAAGGUCCCCCCCUGGUACUGAGACACGGACCAGACUCCUACGGGAGGCAGCAGUGAGGAAUAUUGGUCAAUGGGCGAGAGCCUGAACCAGCCAAGUCGCGUGAAGGAUGACUGCCCUAUGGGUUGUAAACUUCUUUUACAGGGGAAUAAAAUGAGAUACUCCGUGCCAGCAGCCGCGGUAAUACGGAGGAUGCGAGCGUUAUCCGGAUUUAUUGGGUUUAAAGGGUGCGUAGGUGGGCUGUUAAGUCCGCGGUGAAAGUUUGUCGCUUAACGAUAAAAUUGCCGUUGAAACUGGUAGUCUUGAGUAUAGAUGAAGUAGGCGGAGUGCGUGGUGUAGCGGUGAAAUGCAUAGAGAUCACGCAGAACUCCGAUUGCGAAGGCAGCUUACUAAGGUAUAACUGACACUGAAGCACGAAAGCGUGGGUAUCAAACAGGAUUAGAUACCCUGGUAGUCCACGCAGUAAACGAUGAUUACUAGGAGUUUGCGAUAUAGUGUAAGCUCUACAGCGAAAGCGUUAAGUAAUCCACCUGGGGAGUACGCCGGCAACGGUGAAACUCAAAGGAAUUGACGGGGGCCCGCACAAGCGGAGGAACAUGUGGUUUAAUUCGAUGAUACGCGAGGAACCUUACCCGGGAUUGAAAUGUAGACGACGGAGAGUGAGAGCUUUCUUCCCUUCGGGGCGUCUAUGUAGGUGCUGCAUGGUUGUCGUCAGCUCGUGCCGUGAGGUGUCGGCUUAAGUGCCAUAACGAGCGCA
rnacentral:rRNA from 1 species